UACGGGAGGCAGCAGCGAGGAAUAUUGGACAAUGGAGGUAACUCUGAUCCAGCCAUGCCGCGUGCAGGAAGACGGCCCUAUGGGUUGUAAACUGCUUUUAUAUAGGGAGAAACCUUUUCACGUGUGAGAAGCUGGCGGUACUAUAAGAAUAAGGACCGGCUAACUCCGUGCCAGCAGCCGCGGUAAU
rnacentral:rRNA from 1 species